AUCCUCGCACCACCUCUCCGUCCGCGUGUGCACUCACGCCCGAGUUCCACUCUCCACGUGAAAGUACCACCUGGAACGCCGUCGCGUGCCGCGAAGUGAGAAGGGAGGGCCGCCGUGGGUGUUAUCCGUCAUUGCCAUCGUUCGGACCUCGGUGAUGGGUCGGGGGCAAUCCUCUGGACAUAUUGGUGUGUCCGGGUGCUGGCGUGGACUUGUGCUAAUUGCAAUCGGCGCCAAUUGCUCGUUGGAGUCGCCCUGCCUACAUUUCCGCCGUUCUGCGUGGGCAGAAACCUUCGCGUCGUAACCCACUGUGAGUUUUACUCCAACGAAUUUGCGAUACUUAGAACAUUAUGAUUUACCCUAGCGUGCGGUGGUUGGGUGCUGGGUGACCGGGCGCGUCGUAGCAGGUGUUUGCGCCGUCGUGUUCUGCGCGAGCGACUCGCGCCUCCGCUGCCGCGUGGAGAAGAUGGGGCCUUUGUCGUUAGAUCAUCAAGCAACGGGUAGGAUUAGAUGAACCAUACCUCUUCGCUGAAUCAAUUCGGGACCGUUCGAUCGGAUCGGUGGGCUGAAGUUCAAUUCGACUGUGGUCUGUUGGAUCUGGAUCCAAGGGACCACUUUGCGUACCGGUUCAUUUCAGAAUGUAUUUAAUCCUGGCACUUGGAUUUGAUCGGAUGGCUGAGGUCCGUGCUUCAUGCCGCUUUGCAAAAGAAACCCUAGAGUAUUCAGAGUUCAACCUGCAGUCCACGUCAGGGACAUACUGAGUCUUGGAAAGUCUUACGCAGGGGUCCCUGCGCUUUACUGUAUUUGGCACGCAAUCCAGAGAACUAAGGAAAUAGAUAAUUAAUAUUAGAAAUUGAUUUUUAAUAUAAAAAUAAUUCUAGAAACUUAUAUAAUUCAUAUUUAAUUCAUUUCAACUCAAAAUUGAUCCAUUCUAGUGGCAUUUAUUUUCUUUUAAUAUUGUUUAUCGCCUAGUAACUCUACUUAGCCAUAAAACUUGAAUUAAAAUUAUUCACUUGAACUAUUCUAUUUUAAGUACUAAAUAACUUCAGAAAUUCAUAACUAAAUAACUGUAAAUCUAAAUUUAGUUAUUCUUGUUCCUACGAUCUCAUCACACAGUGUAGAAUAUUAUCAUGCAUUAUGUGAUGAUGUUUGGUGUGAUCUUAGUUCUCACUAUAACAUGUUUGUUUGUAUUAUUGCGAGUAGACGAGCAAGCUACUAAGGAUACAGGUAGGGAUGAAAACGGUCGGAAACGGUAUUUAUUCGGUAAUCAGUUUUUAGUCGUUUUUCUUUGAUUGCGAAUAAAUAGGAUAUAGAAUCUAUAUAUAAAUUUGUAUUCUUGUUUUUAACAUUCAACUUCUAAAGAUUCAUAAAAGGUAAACCUCAAAUGCAUCAUAUUUUUUUCUAAAAUAAUAGAUAUAAACUUCGGUAUGGAUUCAGAAAUAAAUUCGGUAAAUUUUUCAACUUUUUGUGUUGUAGGGAGAAAAUAAAACAUAAAACAAUUUAUGUAAUAUUUUAUUCGUAUUUGUACUAAUUUGCUUGAUAACAUAAAAAAGAUCAAUAUCAAAUUUUAUACAUAUCUAUUUUAAAAUAUUAAAUUUGUCCUAACAGUUCGAAUUACCACUUUCAUCCCUAGAUAUAGGGGUUCAGCGGGUGGAGACUGUUGAGCAGGAACUCGUUGAAGGCAAGUUGUGCCCUUGAUGCAUAGGUUAAUUUUGAUGGGACCCAAUAGGUUACCCUAGUUUGGCUAUCUUUAUGCCUUGUUUUACCACUGAAUUUUUGGGUAGUACCUGCUAUUGCUUUAUGUGGUUUUGGGUAUGGAGAUAUACAUUAUUCAUGAUCACACUUUUAUUAUCAGUUUAUUAUUUACUAUUUAUGAUAAGAUCAUUAUGUUAAUUGGAACAUGGAGAACCAACUGGGAAAACAGUGCUACCACAAGGGUGGUAUGGGACGCCCUUGGCUGACUAACUAGGAAAGCUCGUGGAGGACUACCUUACCCGAUAGGGGCAAGGGCAGUAGGGGAGUGAUCAGUGUAGAGAGGUCCUUAGGUUGAUUUUGCUGCGAUGGCGGUCAGGCGAGGCAUCCCUGCAUUGGAGCUUACUAGAAAGUGUAGCGGGUUUUCUGAUGCUAGUGGAACUUUGUAAAGGCCUUGUAGUGGUACCCUGCCUCGCUUCCUUGGUAGAGGUGUAUGGGGUCUGAUCAUCCCCGUGGCAAAUGGGUAACACGACUUGUGGGUAAAGAUGCACAACCUCUGCAUAGUGUAAAACUAGUAUACUAGUUGUGCUAACGGUCAUGAGCAGCUCGGACACUCACAUGAUUAAUUUAUAGAUAAAUUCAAUUUGUCAUUUGCACCGUAUCGGGAUUUAUUAUUAUUUUACCUUACUAUUACUAUGGUUGGUAUUUACUUCCAUUUAGUAACUGGUAAUAAAAUUUUGACCAACUUAUAAAAGCAAUGAUCAGCUUUAACCUUUAUUUAUUGAUCAGCCUUACACUUCACAUGAACUCCAACCUUUGGUGAGUUCAUGCACAUUAUUCCCCACAACUUGUUGAGCUCACUACAAGAAACUGAUAAAUGUUCGUGGGUAAAAGUAAGAACGUGGGUACCGACGUUCUUACUUGAGUUAAGUUCAUGGGUUAUGUUAAGAACGUGGGUACCGACGUUCUUAAGUUAAGUUCGUGGGCCCUGGCUAAAACCGUCGAACUUAACGAGUUAGGAACGUGGGUACCCACGUUCUUAAGUUAAGUUCGUCGGGCAUGUGGACACCAUCGAACUUAAUCCUGAAAACCUAAAUCCAAAUCCCACGCGUGGCUCUCUCUCUCCCCUGUCUCAUUCCCGCCCACACGCUUCUCUCUCUCACCAGCAGGCCGCGCAGCCGCCAUGCCACCGCCAGCGGGUCUGUCACACCCGGUUUUUAGAAGGCAAACCGAAUGCGAACCAUGUACGUGCCAGGAUCAGUUAUUCACGUACACAGCAUUUACAUAACAUGGACAUCAUCACACAGUGCUCAAAAUAGUAUUAAGAAGGGAAAUAGUCGAUUACAUCAUACGUCUGAGACGUCCAUAUAGUCCUUACAAUAAAUCAAAGUGCGGAAAAGAAACGUAGAUAACCGCGGCCUUCACAGGCAGCCGACUGGGGGUUGCCGCUAACCCACACCUAGAACUCGUCGUAGUCUUGGAACUCCUGGAAGUCUCCUUCCACAGCUUCAUCUUCGCCUGAGCAGUGGUUGCAAUGCUGACAACCUGGGGGGGGGGGGGUUUGGUGUGUAGAGCAAGGGUGAGUACACAUCAACAUACUCAGCAAGUAUCCUGUUUGGCUGUAGUGGACUAGCUUUAUGUGGGGAUAAGUCAAGCAGUUGCUUUUAGUUGGUCAGAUUAUUACUUACUAGUAGAAAGCCAAGUUUUAGCAUUAACCCAAGUUAUUAACCCGAUGUACCCUUUCCGAAUGGAAAGAAUACCACUUACCAGCACCACAGUCAUAACCAAAACCAUCGAUCUCAUAGCCACCUGUACCAAAGUAUCUCUGAUCAAGUACCACUAAUCACUGGAGCUCCCUUGGCCGCUCAUAACCGUGAGCACGACUGAUAUAUCAGUUUUCAAACACUCUGCAGAGGUUGUGCACUUUACCCACAAGCCGUGAUUCCCUCUCGCCUCGGGCCGAUCAAACCCUUAAACACUACCAAGGUGAAUAGGCAGGGUUUCACUACGUAGCCUUUACAAAGAUUCCCCGGGGCUGUAGCCACCCGUUAGGUUUCCUAAAUGCACCGCACUCCUCCCCAAGGGGCGAACCCAAACUUGGCAGAGCGAGCCGCAUACACCGAGCCCCAUUGACGGCACAACGACUAAGUGAACUACACCUCGGAUCCUCUAAUUAUUCAGCUAAGGGCAUCCCAUUCCACCCUCAUGGUUGCACUGUUUUCCCGGGCGGUCAUCCAUAGAACAGGUCCUUACGGAGAGGCACUCGAGAAACCGCUCGAGUCCCCUUAAAGCCACAAGUACAACAUCAUAAUAAGAGAAGGGAAAACAACGUAUCAUAGAUAAUCUCAUCAUGUUCAUUGAUUAGAGUUGAGCAAUAGCAUAAAACUAACUAAUAAUAAUCCAACCCAUAUAGGUAAACAAGGAUAUGGAUAACAAAAGCUAGUCAGUCCUUAGGCAUAAAUGUGUAAAGCGGGAGGUGAAUUAAAUAAUGAAUAGGACAGAGAUAGGUCAAAGGACACUUGCCUCCACCAACCGACUGCUGCUCAGGGGCUUCUCCUGCGAGUUCCUCGGGCUCUUCAACCGGAUCGUUCUCUAUGCGAUUGCAAGCAUACAUACAUACAUCCAUUCAAAUUGGGAAGCAAACAGUACAUCAUACAAGGGAACAAAUAAAGUGGAUAUGCAUCAAGUAUGACAUUCGAUAUCGCAUUCAUUAUGGUUAGAAAGAAACGGGAAAAAGGUCUCGCAAGGGGGUUAAAGCUUACGCACUAACGAUUAGUUACAUUUGGUUCUAACAAAAGAAUUUAGUUAUAUGCACUAAUGGAAACCUAGUCAUUUUUAGUUGAUCAACAUUGAACGGGAUAAACAAUUGAUUAUAUGAAUUAACUAGCGUAACAGAAUUCUAAAUUAAGUUCCCUACUUCAAUAACAUGAACAAUGAUUAACCUGCCUAAAAUAAAAUAAAUAACAGUAACGAAAGAAAAUAAAAUAAAAUAAAAUAAAAUAAAUAAAAAAGGGGGGGGCGGUUGAACCGGCCAGGGGGCGGUUGAACCGGCCUGGGCAGGGGCGGGGGCGGCCAAGCCGGCGGCGGGCGGCCGAGCUGGCGGGGGGGGGGGGGGGCGGCCGAACCGGCGGGGGCGCAGGGGCAGGGGGCGACCGAGCCGGCCAGGGGGCGGCCGAGCUGGCGCGCAGGGGCGGCGGCGGCCGAGCCGGCCAGGGGGCGGCUGAGCUGGGCGGCGGGCGGCCGGACCGAGGCGCAGGGGGGCCGAGCGGCGGGGCCGAGCCGGGUAGGGGGAAGGGGAGGGGAGAUGGGGGAGGGAGGAGAGGGGGAGGGGGACCUCACCGGGGACGGGGACGGGCGGCCGAACCGACGACGAGCAGGGGCGGCGGCUAGGGCAGGGGGCGGCGGCUGGGGUGGGGAAGAGAGAGAAUGAGAGGGAGGGAGAGGGAUUGGGGGGGAUUGGGGGGAAGGGGAGGGGGCGGCUGGGCCAAUGGGCCCAAAGGGGGCGCGCGGGGGGGUGGGCGGCUGGGCCGACCGGGGCGGCCCACGGCGCGGGAGAGAGAAUAAGAGGAGAGAGAGAAAGAAAAAGAAAGAAAAGGUUUUUUUCUCCUUUUCGAAAUCCGAUCUUUCUAGAUGAAUGCACUUACAUCUCUAAGCAGUCAAAGAAUGCAUAGUUCGGCAUGGUGCAUCAAACAACAUAAAGUGAUUUAGGGUUUUUUUCUUAACACGGGAAAUCCAAGCCGAACCCCGCGGUAACUUUGGAAAAGAUCAAGGUUUAGCGAGGGAACGAGAAAAGAAAAGGGUAACGCCUGAAUUUGGUAAGAGAAAAGAAGAAAAAAAUUCUACCCCCAAAUUCAGGGUGUUACAGGGUCGCACCACCGCGAGCGGGCCACGCCGCCGCACCACCGCCCCGGCUCGGCACCGACAAUGGGCCGCGCCAGCGCCAGUGGGCCACGCCGGCGCAUCGCUGCCCCAGCUCGCCAGCGGGCCGCGCCACCACACCCACACCAACGAAACACAGGUAUAGUUUUGUAUUAUAUUUUCUUUAAUUUACAAUUAAAAUCAUGCAUCGUUUUUUUGGUUAUAGGGUUCUGAGACUGGACAAGGAAACCCAUAGAUGGACAUGUAGUGGUCGAUGCCCCCUAGAGGACAUAUUCUUCCUCCUCCACAACCAGGUAUGGGAUAUUGACCACCACCACCAUGGAGAUAUCCUACACAUCCAAUGGGGCCUUAGGGAUGCCCCCCAUGGCCAACACAGCCACUUCCAUCACUAGCGGUACGUUCCUGAUUCAUGCUGCUUGCUACUUGUUCACGCUGCAACAAAUUGGGCUUCUUUUUUUGGGACUACUCCAUUGCUGCUUGUUUCUUGUGAUGGCAGCACUUUAGGCUAGGACAGAUGUGUAUCAUCAUGCUUUCCUAUAUCUUGGUGUACAUGUCAUUUUGUGAUCUUCUUGGAAGCCACAUUUUGUGUUUAUCAUGCUUUCCUAUAUCUUUGUGUACAUGUGAUUUAAUGCUAGUUGUAUAUUUAUGAGAAUUUUGGUUUAUUUUGUAGGAUUUCGGAUCUCAUCAAGUGACUCCUCCCCCUCACGAUGACUUUGCGGACAAAUGUCUCAAUUCUAGUGGUGGAGCAAUGAACAACAAUCUGAUGUCCUGAUCGAGAACGAUGGAGCUAAUGUUUGAACUUGUGUGUUUGAACUUGUGAACUAAAAAUGUGAACUAUGGAUGUGAACUAAUGUGAAUUUGUGAACUUAUGUAUUUGGACUUAUGUGAAUUUGUGAACUUAUGUAUUUGAACUUGUGUGAAUUUGUGAUAUGAACAUAUAUCCAUGUGUUUGAAAUUUGUAUUGUAUGUGAUAUUCUGUGUUGCAUGUGAUAUUAUGU
rnacentral:lncRNA from 1 species